ACGAACGCUGGCGGCGUGCUUAACACAUGCAAGUCGAACGGAAAGGCCCUGCUUUUGUGGGGUGCUCGAGUGGCGAACGGGUGAGUAACACGUGAGUAACCUGCCCUUGACUUUGGGAUAACUUCAGGAAACUGGGUCUAAUACCGGAUAGGAGCUCCUGCUGCAUGGUGGGGGUUGGAAAGUUUCGGCGGUUGGGGAUGGACUCGCGGCUUAUCAGCUUGUUGGUGGGGUAGUGGCUUACCAAGGCUUUGACGGGUAGCCGGCCUGAGAGGGUGACCGGCCACAUUGGGACUGAGAUACGGCCCAGACUCCUACGGGGGGCAGCAGUGGGGAAUAUUGCACAAUGGGCGGAAGCCUGAUGCAGCAACGCCGCGUGCGGGAUGACGGCCUUCGGGUUGUAAACCGCUUUCGCCUGUGACGAAGCGUGAGUGACGGUAAUGGGUAAAGAAGCACCGGCUAACUACGUG
rnacentral:rRNA from 1 species